UACGUAGGGGCCAAGCGUUGUCCGGAUUUAUUGGGCGUAAAGAGCUCGUAGGCGGUUCGAUAAGUCGGGUGUGAAAACUCUGGGCUCAACUCAGAGACGCCACCCGAUACUGUUGUGACUUGAGUCCGGUAGGGGAGUAUGGAAUUCCCGGUGUAGCGGUGAAAUGCGCAGAUAUCGGGAGGAACACCAGUGGCGAAGGCGGUACUCUGGGCCGGAACUGACGCUGAGGAGCGAAAGCGUGGGUAGCGAACAGG
rnacentral:rRNA from 1 species